rnacentral:tRNA from 1 species
AAAAUCCGUCGAUUUUUGAAAUCAUGAGGGUCAAGUCCCUCUAUCCCCA